rnacentral:rRNA from 1 species
GGGGGGCGAGUAGAGUGGCGCACGGGUGAGUAACACGUAGGUAAUCUACCUUUGGAUUGGGAAUAACCACCGGAAACGGUGGCUAAUACCGAAUAAUGCAGCGGCACCUAAUGGUGACAGUUGUUAAAGCGGGGGAUCGCAAGACCUCGCGUCUGAAGAGGAGCCUGCGGCGGAUUAGCUAGUUGGUAAGGUAACGGCUUACCAAGGCAACGAUCCGUAACCGGCCUGAGAGGGCGGUCGGUCACACUGACACUGACAUACGGGUCAGACUCCUACGGGAGGCAGCAGUCGGGAAUUUUGGGCAAUGGGCGAAAGCCUGACCCAGCAACGCCGCGUGAAGGAUGAAAUCCCUCGGGAUGUAAACUUCGCAAGAACGGGAAGAAUAAGCUUCAGUUAAUAUCUGAAGUGAUGACGGUACCGUUUGUAAGCUCCGGCUAACUCCGUGCCAGCAGCCGCGGUAAUACGGGGGGAGCAAGCGUUGUUCGGAUUUACUGGGCGUAAAGGGCGCGUAGGCGGUCAGCACAAGUCAGUUGUGAAAUCUCCGGGCUUAACUCGGAAAGGUCAACUGAUACUGUGCGACUAGAGUGCGGAAGGGGCAACUGGAAUUCUUGGUGUAGCGGUGAAAUGCGUAGAUAUCAAGAGGAACACCUGCGGCGAAGGCGGGUUGCUGGGCCGACACUGACGCUGAUGCGCGAAAGCCAGGGGAGCGAACGGGAUUAGAUACCCCGGUAGUCCUGGCCUUAAACGAUGAAUGCUUGGUGUCUGGGGUUAUAAAGUCCCCGGGUGCCGUCGCUAACGCUUUAAGCAUUCCGCCUGGGGAGUACGGUCGCAAGACUGAAACUC